rnacentral:rRNA from 1 species
CCUACGGGGGGCUGCAGUGGGGAAUAUUGGGCAAUGGAGGAAACUCUGACCCAGCAAUGCCGCGUGAAUGAAGAAGGUCUUCGGAUUGUAAAGUUCUUUAGUCAGGGAAGAAAAUGACGGUACCUGACUAAGAAGCCCCGGCUAACUACGUGCCAGCAGCCGCGGUAAUACGUAGGGGGCAAGCGUUAUCCGGAUUUACUGGGUGUAAAGGGAGCGUAGACGGCGUGCCAAGUCUGAUGUGAAAGGCCGGGGCUCAACCCCGGGACUGCAUUGGAAACUGGCAUGCUGGAGUGCCGGAGGGGCAAGCGGAAUUCCUAGUGUAGCGGUGAAAUGCGUAGAUAUUAGGAGGAACACCGGUGGCGAAGGCGGCUUGCUGGACGGUAACUGACGUUGAGGCUCGAAAGCGUGGGGAGCAAACAGGAUUAGAUACCCCAGUAGUC